UACGAAGGGGGCUAGCGUUGUUCGGAAUCACUGGGCGUAAAGCGCGCGUAGGCGGAUUUUUAAGUCAGGGGUGAAAUCCCGGGGCUCAACCUCGGAACUGCCUUUGAUACUGGAGAUCUUGAGUCCGGAAGAGGUAAGUGGAACUGCGAGUGUAGAGGUGAAAUUCGUAGAUAUUCGCAAGAACACCAGUGGCGAAGGCGGCUUACUGGUCCGGAACUGACGCUGAGGUGCGAAAGCGUGGGGAGCAAACAGG
rnacentral:rRNA from 1 species